CACGUAGGGCGCGAGCGUUGUCCGGAAUUAUUGGGCGUAAAGGGAGUGUAGGCGGUUUGUUAAGUCUUCUGUGAAAUCUACGGGCUUAGCCUGUAACGUGCAGAGGAAACUGACAGGCUUGAGUGUCGGAGAGGAUAGGGGAAUUCCCGGUGUAGAGGUGAAAUUCGUAGAGAUCGGGAGGAACACCAGUGGCGAAGGCGCCUAUCUGGCUGACAACUGACGCUGAGACUCGAAAGCAUGGGGAGCAAACAGG
rnacentral:rRNA from 1 species